rnacentral:rRNA from 1 species
UACGUAGGGUGCGAGCGUUGCCCGGAAUUAUUGGGCGUAAAGGGCUCGUAGGCGGUUUGUCGCGUCGGGAGUGAAAACCAUGGGCUUAACUCAUGGCUUGCUUCCGAUACGGGCAGACUAGAGGUAUGCAGGGGAGAACGGAAUUCCUGGUGUAGCGGUGAAAUGCGCAGAUAUCAGGAGGAACACCGGUGGCGAAGGCGGUUCUCUGGGCAUUACCUGACGCUGAGGAGCGAAAGUGUGGGGAGCGAACAGG